GUAGAAUUGUAGACACCACCACCAUCGCCCAGCUCCAGUCACCUCCUCUCUCUCUACUUAUGUUCAUCAGUUGAACAAACACCACCACAAACCACCAUUGUUCACCUCACUCGUUAGUAUCCCCACCAUAGCUGACGAACACAAACACCAGUCGCCGGAUUUAGGCCACAAACCAAAAAACAAGACCCAAGUGUGUCGAAAAUCACCAGAUAACCGGUGGAGCCUUGAUCUACUCGUAGCCUGUUUCAAAUUCCUAAAGAUCUGUUAUUAUUCCAUUUGUUUUAACAGAUCUCGUAUUAUUCCGUUUGUUUUAGAAAAGUCCUCAAGAUCUGUGUAUAUGUUCCUUUUUAUCUUCAAUUUUUGGUGCCUCAAGAUCUUUGUAAUUGUUUGUGAUUGAUGUAAUUUAUAAGUUGAGGUGUGAUUAUGCACUGAAACUUGUUCAAAAGGAGGUCAAUUUAAGGUUUUUUUAUGCUGCAAAGGGAAAAUUGUAUUUGGUAUUGUUGGUGGUAG
rnacentral:lncRNA from 1 species